rnacentral:misc_RNA from 1 species
UUUCCGUAGGUGAACCUGCGGAAGGAUCAUUAGCGAUACAGCUGGGCUUCGGCCCUGUCUGCACCCCUGUCUUUUGCGUACUUGUUGUUUCCUCGGUGGGCAAGCCCGCCGUUAGGACCACUAAAAACCUCUUGUAAUUUGCAGUCAGCGUCUGAAAAACUAUAAUAAUUACAACUUUCAACAACGGAUCUCUUGGUUCUGGCAUCGAUGAAGAACGCAGC